rnacentral:snoRNA from 1 species
UAACCAUGUUGAAGGCAUCUUCUAAGUAGAUCUUUGAAUCUAUCCCAUGCCUCAUAGAAUGGUUCGAAAUCCAACUGUUUGAACCACCCAAUUUCACCUCGUAGUUU